AGAAUCAACGCUGGCGGCGUGCCUAACACAUGCAAGUCGCACGAGAAAGGGGAGCAAUCCCUGAGUACAGUGGCGCACGGGUGAGUAACACGUGAAUAAUCUACCUCCGAGUGGGGAAUAACUGAGAGAAAUCUUAGCUAAUACCGCAUAACACUUACGAGUCAAAGCAGCAAUGCGCUUGGAGAGGAGUUCGCGGCCGAUUAGUUAGUUGGCGGGGUAAUGGCCCACCAAGACGAUGAUCGGUAUCCGGCCUGAGAGGGCGCACGGACACACUGGAACUGAAACACGGUCCAGACUCCUACGGGAGGCAGCAGUGGGGAAUUUUGCGCAAUGGGGGAAACCCUGACGCAGCAACGCCGCGUGGAGGAUGAAGCCCCUUGGGGUGUAAACUCCUUUCGAUCGGGAAGAUAAUGACGGUACCGAUAUAAGAAGCCCCGGCUAACUUCGCGCCAGCAGCCGC
rnacentral:rRNA from 1 species